rnacentral:rRNA from 1 species
AUGAACGCUGACAGAAUGCUUCACCCCUGCCAGUCGAUGGGGAAGUGGUGCUUGCACCAUGGCAACCAUGGCGGACGGGUGAGUAACGCGUAAGGGACUUACCUGCAGGACUGGGAUAACAGGGGGAAACUCCUGACAAGACCGGAUAAUGUCAUGGAGCUGCAUGGCUUUAUGAUGAAAGGAGACGCCUGCGGAGAGCCUUGCGUCCUAUUAGCUAGUUGGUGAGGUAAUGGCUCACCAAGGCGAAGAUAGGUAGCCGGCCUGAGAGGGUGGACGGCCACAAGGGGACUGAGAUACGGCCCUUACUCCUACGGGAGGCAGCAGUGGGGAAUAUUGGACAAUGGGGGCAACCCUGAUCCAGCAAUUCUGUGUGCACGAAGAAGGUUUUCGGAGUGUAAAGCGCUUUCAGCAGGGAAGAAGUAAGUGACGGUACCUGCAGAAGAAGCGACGGCUAAAUACGUG